UAUAUAUAUAUAUAUAUAUAGAACUAGGCUACUAUACUAUUCGGUAGCAUGGAGCGCUCCGUGCUACCAAGUUGUUUUCGAUGAUGCGGCUUCCAAAUCGACGAUCGGUUCCGUUAGACUUGAUCUACACUAUUGAAAGUAUUUAGAAAUUAAAUUUCAUAACUUUUCGAUAUCAUUUACCUAUCAAACAAAUAGUCUAAAAUUGAACGGCUGAAAAUAAAAAUCUCAUGAAAAAUGAUGAUAAAAGAUUUAAAUUCAAGAUUAGAUAUACUGAUCUUACUCUAAAUAGUGAAAAAAAUUUUCUAUAAAAUUUUCAUCGCAUUUGGAUUGUUUUACACCGUUAAACUCACAAACACACCACAUCGGCCAUUAAAAUUGUCAAUUUUGAGAUCUUUUGAUCACUAGUCAAAUGAUGUCGAAAAAAUCUGAAAUUUAGUUUCCAAAUAUUUUCAAUGGUGUAGAUCAAGUCUAACGGAGCCGAUCGUUGAUUUGGAAGCCGCGUCAUCGAAAACAACUUGGUAGCACGGAGCGCUCCGUGCUACCGAUAGCAUAGUAGCCGGACUAUAUAUAUAUAUAUAUAUAUAUAUAUAUAUAUAUAUAUAUAUAUAUAGAGAGAGAGAGAGAGAGAGAGAGAGAGAGAGAGAGAGAGUAGGGCUACUAUACUCUUAUGAGUAUAGAACCCUUACUACUCAUAAGUUGUUUUCGAUGUUGGAGUUUUCAAAUUGACGAUCCACACCGUUAAACAUGAUCUAGAGUAUUUGAAACUUAUAAAAAAUAAAUUUCAUAAAUUUUUGAAAUCAUUAUAAAGUCCAUCAAGCGAGUAUAAAAUGAACAGUUAAAAUCGAAUGACAUCCUAAAAAUGGAUGAUCGGAUCCUUAAAUUUAAGAUCGGAGUUAUUGAUCUUUAUUUAGGUAGUGAAUAGAAUUUUCUACGAAAAAUUCAACCUAUUUCGAUUAUUUUUCACCGUUAAACUAGCAAAUAUUUCAUAUCGGCCGUUAAAAAUUGUCGAUUUUGUGAUCUUUUGAUCGUAAGAUAAAUGAUAUCGAAAAAUUAUAAAAUUUAAUUUCUAGAUGUUUUAAAUGCUCUAGAUAAUGUUUAACGGUAUAGAUCGUUGAUUCGAAAGCUCUAUCAUCAAAAACAACUUAUGAGUACGAAGUCGAUCGUACUCAUAAGAGUAUAGUAGCCGGACUCUCUCUCUCUCUCUCUCCCCCUCUCUCUCUCUCUCUAUAUAUAUAUAUGUUUCGAUUUUAGCAGUUCUGUACUUCUUGUUGUAGUUAUUAUCUGUUUGCAAGUAUAGCUAUCGCUUCGUAUACAUAGAAAAUUCCUAUGUAUACGGCGGAUUUGUUGGCGAGCUUAGGGAACGUGGUAAUCCA
rnacentral:lncRNA from 1 species